CGAAGGGGGCGAGCGUUGUUCGGAGUUACUGGGCGUAAAGGGCGCGUAGGCGGCGAUCCAAGUUAGGCGUGAAAGCCCCGGGCUUAACCUGGGAAUUGCGCUUAAGACUGGACUGCUUGAGUGCGGGAGAGGUGAGUGGAAUUCCCAGUGUAGAGGUGAAAUUCGUAGAUAUUGGGAAGAACACCAGUGGCGAAGGCGGCUCACUGGCCCGCAACUGACGCUGAGGCGCGAAAGCGUGGGGAGCAAACAGGAUUAGAUACCCUGGUAGUCCACGCUGUAAACGAUGAGCGCUAGACGUUGGGGAACUCGGUUCCUUGGUGUCGCAGCUAACGCAUGAAGCACUCCGCCUGGGGAGUACGGCCGCAAGGUUA
rnacentral:rRNA from 1 species